rnacentral:rRNA from 1 species
CCUACGGGAGGCAGCAGUGAGGAAUAUUGGUCAAUGGGCGCGAGCCUGAACCAGCCAAGUAGCGUGAAGGAUGACUGCCCUACGGGUUGUAAACUUCUUUUAUAAAGGAAUAAAGUGAGGCACGUGUGCCUUUUUGUAUGUACUUUAUGAAUAAGGAUCGGCUAACUCCGUGCCAGCAGCCGCGGUAAUACGGAGGAUCCGAGCGUUAUCCGGAUUUAUUGGGUUUAAAGGGAGCGUAGAUGGGUUGUUAAGUCAGUUGUGAAAGUUUGCGGCUCAACCGUAAAAUUGCAAUUGAAACUGGCAGCCUUGAGAAGAGUUGAGGUAGGCGGAAUGCGUGGUGUAGCGGUGAAAUGCUUAGAUAUCGCGAAGAACUCCGAUUGCGAAGGCAGCUUACUAGACUGCCACUGACAUUGAUGCUCGAAAGUGUGGGUAUCAAACAGGAUUAGAUACCCGUGUAGUC